ACAGCAUCUCAGCCCAUCCCGGUCCCCCCCACAGCAUCCAAGACCCUCCUGGCUCACACAGCAACCCAUUGCAGCUACGGUGGCUCCUCCUUAUUGCUCCCACCCACAUACUGGGCAUUGCAGUGUAGGCUGCAGCGCCACGGGCUGCCUUCAUCUCACCACCUCCAUGUUGGAAAGGCACGUCCCACCUGGAAGUAUUAUUUCACCCUGCCACCAGGAGGAGCCCUAAGCAGUUGGGGCGCAGCUGCUUCCUGUGCUGUUUAUAGGGGAGUGGGAUGGGCAGCACCGCAUGUUAGCCCUGCCCUUUGUGCCGGAGCAGCCAUACUGAACCUACCUGCCCCAUUACAUGGAACUGAGCCAGUUAUUAGCUUUAGCCCAAAUGGACCUUUAACCCCUUCCCCAUAGCUGUAGCGCCAGCCUGAUGGGUGCGCCCCAGUCCCCUGCAUGGCAGUAUGGGGGGGCUGGGGGGUGUUUAUACCAACAUGUCCAUAAGCCUUACAUGGUUUCUGCCCUAGGGGCAAUUACUCAUUGGCCACUUCCCCUCUGCAGGGUUUACACACUAAACAACCACCGGGCAGUCAGCUGUACCGGCAGGUACUGGCCCACAUCUACCAGAACCACACUGUGUGUAUGUCCUGUAGCCACCGGGCAGUUGGCUGUAUUGGCAGGUACUGGCCCACAUCUACCAGAACCACACUGUGUGUAUGUCCUGUAGCCACCGGGCAGUUGGCUGUAUUGGCAGGUACUGGCCCACAUCUACCAGAACCACACUGUGUGUAUGUCCUGUAGCCACCGGGCAGUUGGCUGUAUCGGCAGGUACUGGCCCACAUCUACCAGAACCACACUGUGUGUAUGUCCUGUAGCCACCGGGCAGUUGGCUGUACUGGCCCACAUCUACCAGAACCACACUGUGUAGCCACCGAGCAGUACCAUAUGCUGCCAACAAUGGGGCUGAGAGCGCUGACAUUUACACGUUGGGGAGCAGUGAGUGGGGACCCCCUUUCCCCUGUAGCUAAGCAAAGCUCGGUUCUGCUGCUUUAUCUGGGCCGGCUGGUACCAUCCAUUUCUCUCAUGGGAGGGUGAGCCCUUCUGUCUCUGUGCUUGUAAAUAAACAUUUCCCUUCUUA